rnacentral:misc_RNA from 1 species
AUGUUCCAACGAUGAUGCAUGAUUUUGCGAUUACCGAGAAUUACGUUGUAAUUCCUGAUCAGCAAGUUGUGUUUAAGCUUCAAGAAAUGAUCAAAGGAGGCUCCCCUGUGAUUUAUGACAAAAAUAAGAAAUCAAGGUUCGGAAUUCUACCCAAAAAUGCUGAAAACUCUGAGAAUAUUAUUUGGGUUGAAUCAGCCGAAACGUUCUGUUUUCACCUAUGGAAUGCUUGGGAAGAACCAGAAA